rnacentral:misc_RNA from 1 species
AACCUUAUGGACCUGCGGGCGUAUACCUGCGGAAGGAUCAUUAUAGAGUUUUCUAAACUCCCAAACCCAUGUGAACUUACCAUUGUUGCCUCGGCAGAACCUACCCGGUACCUACCCUGGAACGAGCUACCCUGUAGCUACCCAGGAACGGGCUACCCUGUAACGUCCUGCCGGUGGACUUCUAAACUCUUGUUAUUUAUAGUAAUCUGAGCGUCUUAUUUUAAUAAGUCAAAACUUUUA